rnacentral:rRNA from 1 species
UGGGGAAUAUUGCACAAUGGGCGCAAGCCUGAUGCAGCGACGCCGCGUGCGGGAUGACGGCCUUCGGGUUGUAAACCGCUUUUGAUCGGGAGCAAGCCUUCGGGUGAGUGUACCUUUCGAAUAAGCACCGGCUAACUACGUGCCAGCAGCCGCGGUAAUACGUAGGGUGCAAGCGUUAUCCGGAAUUAUUGGGCGUAAAGGGCUCGUAGGCGGUUCGUCGCGUCCGGUGUGAAAGUCCAUCGCUUAACGGUGGAUCUGCGCCGGGUACGGGCGGGCUGGAGUGCGGUAGGGGAGACUGGAAUUCCCGGUGUAACGGUGGAAUGUGUAGAUAUCGGGAAGAACACCAAUGGCGAAGGCAGGUCUCUGGGCCGUUACUGACGCUGAGGAGCGAAAGCGUGGGGAGCGAACAGGAUUAGAUACCCUGGUAGUCCACGCCGUAAACGGUGGAUGCUGGAUGUGGGGCCCGUUCCACGGGUUCCGUGUCGGAGCUAACGCGUUAAGCAUCCCGCCUGGGGAGUACGGCCGCAAGGCUAAAACUCAAAGAAAUUGACGGGGGCCCGCACAAGCGGCGGAGCAUGCGGAUUAAUUCGAUGCAACGCGAAGAACCUUACCUGGGCUUGACAUGUUCCCGACGGUCGUAGAGAUACGGCUUCCCUUCGGGGCGGGUUCACAGGUGGUGCAUGGUCGUCGUCAGCUCGUGUCGUGAGAUGUUGGGUUAAGUCCCGCAACGAGCGCAACCCUCGCCCCGUGUUGCCAGCGGAUUAUGCCGGGAACUCACGGGGGACCGCCGGGGUUAACUCGGAGGAAGGUGGGGAUGACGUCAGAUCAUCAUGCCCCUUACGUCCAGGGCUUCACGCAUGCUACAAUGGCCGGUACAACGGGAUGCGACGCGGCGACGUGGAGCGGAUCCCUGAAAACCGGUCUCAGUUCGGAUCGCAGUCUGCAACUCGACUGCGUGAAGGCGGAGUCGCUAGUAAUCGCGAAUCAGCAACGUCGCGGUGAAUGCGUUCCC